rnacentral:rRNA from 1 species
GAUGAACGCUGGCGGCGUGCCUAAUACAUGCAAGUCGAGCGAACAGACGAGGAGCUUGCUCCUCUGACGUUAGCGGCGGACGGGUGAGUAACACGUGGAUAACCUACCUAUAAGACUGGGAUAACUUCGGGAAACCGGAGCUAAUACCGGAUAAUAUAUUGAACCGCAUGGUUCAAUAGUGAAAGACGGUUUUGCUGUCACUUAUAGAUGGAUCCGCGCCGCAUUAGCUAGUUGGUAAGGUAACGGCUUACCAAGGCAACGAUGCGUAGCCGACCUGAGAGGGUGAUCGGCCACACUGGAACUGAGACACGGUCCAGACUCCUACGGGAGGUAGCAGUAGGGAAUCUUCCGCAAUGGGCGAAAGCCUGACGUAGCAACGCCGCGUGAGUGAUAAAGGUCUUCGGAUCGUAAAACUCUGUUAUUAGGGAAGAACAAAUGUGUAAGUAACUAUGCACGUCUUGACGGUACCUAAUCAGAAAGCCACGGCUAACUACGUG